rnacentral:misc_RNA from 1 species
UCCGGUUUGACACCGGCAGUCUCCUAUGAGUCCCCGACAUAACUCGCUGGCAACAUAGGAUAGGGGUUGCGCUCGUUGCGGGACUUAAGCCAACACCUCACGGCACGAGCUGACGACAGCCAUGCAGCACCUGUGCUAGCCCCUUGCGGACACCGGCUUUCACCGGCUUUAACUAGCAUGUCAAGCCUAGGUAAGGUUCUUCGCGUUGCAUCGAAUUAAACCACAUGCUCCACCGCUUGUGCGGGCCCCCGUCAAUUCCUUUGAGUUUCACCCUUGCGGGCGUACUCCCCAGGUGGAUUACUUAAUGCGUUAGCUGCGCCACCAAAGCUCUAUGAGCCCUGACAGCUAGUUAUCAUCGUUUACGGCGUGGACUAC